rnacentral:ncRNA from 1 species
AAAAAAUUUUAUUUUAGUUUAGUGAAUUAAUAUAUAAUUUAAAAUUAUAUAAAUUUUUGUUUAAAAAAAUUAGAAGUAGUUUUUAAAAUUAAAAAUAAUAGAAAUAUUGAUUUAGAAAUUUAUAAUUAUAUUAACAAAAAUUGUGCCAGCAGUUGCGGUUAUACAAUUUAAUAUUAUUAAUUUUUAUUUAUUUAUAAUAAUAAGUUUAUAUAAGUUUUAAAUUAAAAUUAUUAAGUGAAAUUUUAAUUUUAUGAUAAAAUUAUUUUAUUUAUUAAAUAUUAUUAAAUUUUAAUUUUAAAUUAGGAUUAGAUACCCUAUUAUUUUUAAUGUAAAUAUAAAAAUAGAUUAGUAUAUAAAAAAUUUUGAAAAUUAAAAAAUUUGGCAGUAUUAUAAUCUUUUUAGAGGAACCUGUUUAGUAAUUGAUAUUCCACGAUUUAUAAUACUUAUUUUUUAUUUGUAUAUCGUCGUAAAAGAAUUUUUUAUGAGAAAUUAAAUAUUCAAUAUAUAAUAAAAUAUAUAAAAUCAGAUCAAGAUGCAGUUUAUGAAUAAGAAUUUAAUGGGUUACAAUAAUUAAUAGUUUUAGUUUAAUAAUUUAAAUUUAUUAAUAAAUUGGAUUUAAAAGUAAUUUUAUUUAAAAUAAUAAAAUGAUUUAGUAAUAUAAUAUGUACAUAUUGCCCGUCGCUUUCAUUUAAAAUGAAAUAAGUCGUAACAAAGUAGUUGUACUGGAAAGUGUAGCUAGUUAUAC